UUUUGAUUUGUUUAUACGGAGAACGCCACAUGCAGCGGUUCAUACGAAUCAAACACAUUUUACUGAUUUAACAGAACCUCGAGAGCAAUAAUUGAAUAAUCAGACCAUGUCAGAGUUUGAGACAUCUAUAUCCAGCACCAGAGAUCCAGAAUCAGAUCAGAGAGAUCCGGGAUCAGAUCCGGGAGAAGAAUCUACUGAAGAGAAGUUGACCUUUGACAUGUCUGACCCUGAGGAAGAAGGUCAUCAACAAAAAGUAACAGUGAAGGU